rnacentral:Y_RNA from 1 species
GGUUGGUCCAAGUGCAGUGGUGUUUACAACUAAUUGAUCACAACCAGUUACAGAUUCCUUUGUUCCUUCUCCACUCCUGCUGCUCCACUUGACCAGCCUUUA